UACGAAGGGGGCUAGCGUUGCUCGGAAUCACUGGGCGUAAAGGGUGCGUAGGCGGGUCUUUAAGUCAGGGGGGAAAUCCUGGAGCUCAACUCCAGAACUGCCUUUGAUACUGAGGAUCUUGAGUCCGGGAGAGGUGAGUGGAACUGCGAGUGUAGAGGUGAAAUUCGUAGAUAUUCGCAAGAACACCAGUGGCGAAGGCGGCUCACUGGCCCGGUACUGACGCUGAGGCACGAAGGCCAGGGGAGCAAACGGG
rnacentral:rRNA from 1 species